GACGAACGCUGGCGGCGUGCUUAACACAUGCAAGUCGAACGGUAAGGCCCUUCGGGGUACACGAGUGGCGAACGGGUGAGUAACACGUGGGUGAUCUACCCUGCACUUCGGGAUAAGCCUGGGAAACUGGGUCUAAUACCGGAUAGGACCCUGGGAUGCAUAUCCUGGGGUGGAAAGCUUUUGCGGUGUGGGAUGGGCCCGCGGCCUAUCAGCUUGUAGGUGGGGUGAUGGCCUACCAAGGCGACGACGGGUAGCCGGCCUGAGAGGGUGACCGGCCACACUGGGACUGAGAUACGGCCCAGACUCCUACGGGAGGCAGCAGUGGGGAAUAUUGCACAAUGGGCGCAAGCCUGAUGCAGCGACGCCGCGUGAGGGAUGACGGCCUUCGGGUUGUAAACCUCUUUCAGCACAGACGAAGCGCAAGUGACGGUAUGUGCAGAAGAAGGACCGGCCAACUACGUGCCAGCCGCCGCCGUAA
rnacentral:rRNA from 1 species